GCGCGCACGGGCUCGGGUGCUCGCGGGCAGCAGUGGCACCACGUAGCCGCACCGCCGCCUCCUUCCACCGCUCUCCACCCUCCCCUCCCUUUCCCCGCCCCUUCAGUGGUGGCUGAAACCCCUACGACCCCCAAGCGCUGCAACGCGUACUGGGGAAGACCGCAGGCAGAAGGAAGGAGGGAGGGUGCCCGGGCGCACGCCGCUUGGCAGCAGCCCGGCGGAGAGACGGCGAUUGCUGAGCAGCGGGUCCCUAUCCGUCACCCGCACCAACAGCAAACAGCUUCUGGACGCACGCGGGGGAGAAGGUCGUUGCGGGGCGAGAGGGCUGGCUCUCACACCCUCUGAAUCCAUGACAAGAGGGAUUAAUUCCUGCAUAAGCAACUGGAUAUUGAUGGAAUCUGCAAAAUAAAGACAGGCCUGGAGAGUGUGUAAGAGGAAACGAAGAGAAGCCCAGAUGGUGUGCCUCUUCCAGGUUUGGAAAAAGAGUUGUAUCUCUCUUCUCUUCUCACAGCAGACGUCCCACUACCCAGUGGAUUUCAGCUCUGGCCUUCCAGCAGAAUCACCAGGGGUUCGUGCUCCAGUUCUGGGAUUUUGACUCAACAGUCAUGGGGAUGGAGCUUCCUCGGCUGUGUCAGUGUUGGGGAAGAAGAAAAAAAUAAAAUUUAAAAAAGGCCAAGGCCAAGUGACAAUUAGUGGGAAGAGCAUGGAUGUGAUUCAGCAUCAUGAGCAAGCUCCACCUCGUCCAUCUGUGCUGACUGGUCCAACACCCAGUGAGGAAGAACAGCGUGUCUGUCCUGUGCUCACUUUUAUUUUCUUUUUCAAACAACUUUAUUGAGAUAAAGUUCACAUACCAUAAAAGUCACCCACCUAAAAUAUACAAUUCAGUGGUUUUCAGUGUAUUCACAGACAUGUGCAGCCAUCACCACAGUCAAUGUUAGAACAUUUUCAUCCAGUCGGAAAGAAACUUCGUGCCCAUUAGCUGUGACUGUCUAUUUUCCCAUUCAGGCCCCAGCCCCAAGCAACCACUGAUCUGCUUUAGGAACCUAUAGAUUAGCUUAUUCUAGACAUUUCACAUAGGUGGAAUCAUAUAAUGUCGCGUCUUGUGCCUGGCUUUGUUUUCACUUAGCAUAAUGUUUCGAAGGUUUAUCCAAGUCAUAGCACGUAUCAGUACUUCUUUCCUUUUUUAUAGCCAAAUAUUCUGCUGCAUGGAUAGAACACAUUUGCUGAUCCACCCAUUAACUGAAGGACAGUUGGGUUA